GUCUACAGCCAUGCCACCCUGAACAAGCCUAAUCCUGUCUGAUCUCAGAAGCUAAGCAGGGUUGGGCCUGGUUAGUACUUGGAUGGGAGACCACCUAGGAAGACCAGGUGCCAUAGGCA
rnacentral:rRNA from 1 species